GAUGAAGAACGUAGCGAAAUGCGAUAAGUAAUGUGAAUUGCAGAAUUCAGUGAAUCAUCGAAUCUUUGAACGCACAUUGCGCCCGCCAGUAUUCUGGCGGGCAUGCCUGUUCGAGCGUCAUUUCAACCAUCAAGCCCCCGGCUUGUGUUGGGGACCUGCGGCUGCCGCAGGCCCUGAAAAGCAGUGGCGGGCUCGCUGUCACACCGAGCGUAGUAGCAUACAUCUCGCUCUGGGCGUGCUGCGGGUUCCGGUCGUUAAACCACCUUCAUAACCCAAGGUUGACCUCGGAUCAGGUAGGAAGACCCGCUGAACUUAAGCAUAUCAAUAAGCGGAGGA
rnacentral:misc_RNA from 1 species